rnacentral:ncRNA from 2 species
UUGAGCCGUAUGCCGGGAAACUGGCACGUACGGUUCUUAGGGGGCGGUGAUGCAGUAAUGCAUCACUGCUACCCGAU